rnacentral:rRNA from 1 species
UACGAAGGGGGCUAGCGUUGUUCGGAAUUACUGGGCGUAAAGCGCGCGCAGGCGGUUUUUCAAGUCAGUGGUGAAAGCCCGGAGCUCAACUCCGGAAAUGCCAUUGAAACUGCAAAACUUGAGGACGAGAGAGGUGAGUGGAAUUCCCAGUGUAGAGGUGAAAUUCGUAGAUAUUGGGAAGAACACCGGUGGCGAAGGCGGCUCACUGGCUCGUUUUCUGACGCUCAGGCGCGAUAGCGUGGGGAUCAAACAGG